CAGCCGCCACGGUAAAACAGAGGGUGCGAGCGUUAAUCGGAUUUACUGGGCGUAAAGCGUGCGUAGGCGGCUUCUUAAGUCGGAUGUGAAAUCCCUGAGCUUAACUUAGGAAUUGCAUUCGAUACUGGGAAGCUAGAGUAUGGGAGAGGAUGGUAGAAUUCCAGGUGUAGCGGUGAAAUGCGUAGAGAUCUGGAGGAAUACCGAUGGCGAAGGCAGCCAUCUGGCCUAAUACUGACGCUGAGGUACGAAAGCAUGGGGAGCAAACAGGAUUAGAUACCCCCGUAGUCCCUGUCUCUUAUAA
rnacentral:rRNA from 1 species